rnacentral:sRNA from 1 species
UAGGAUCCCAGGGACGUGUAAACUCAGUGCUUAAUUAAAUGGAUUCUUUAGAGGGUGGGAAACAGGUGGCUGUCAACCAUUUGCCCCACAUAUCCGUAUUCAUGCAAUCCACCCCCAGUGGGCUCACCCGUGCGGGUGUGCAAAACCUCCUCCCACCCCAGUCAUCUUAGGUUCAAGUCAUCCUUUGGUCCUGCUCUUUCCCCGCCAGGCUGUCUGUUGAUGCUACUUUUAAUCUGCUUUCACUAAGAUAAGCCUGGCAGAAGUGGUGGGGGUAAGGUGGGAUGUAGGCCAGCUCCCAAAUGUGUGCUGGGCAUAACAGAAGACCCAUUCUUGACUGAAGUACCCUUGUGGGCCCUGAGCCCGUGCCCUGGAGUGGCACAGGGAGGUGUGCCAGCAAUGGGGACCGAGGUCACUGGGGACUGCUGGGGUUCAGGCUAGUGGCCUGUCUGGCUGCUGUCUGCUUCCCUCGUUCACAUCCUGCUGGAGCCUUAAACGGGAGCCCAAAAGCUUUUCUUUCUUUUUUUUUUUUUUUUUUGAGACACAAUCUCACUCUGUUGCCCAGGCUGGAGUGCAAGUGGCACAACCUCUGCCGCCCGGGUUCAAGCGAUUCUCCUGCCUCAGCCUCCCGAGUAGCUGGGAUUACAGGUGCCUGCCACCAUGCCUGGCUAAUUUUCAUAGUUAGAGUAGAGACGGGGUUUCACCAUCUUGGCCAGGCUGGUCUUGAACUCCUGACCUCAUGAUCCACCCGCCUCGGCCUCCCAAAGUGCUGGGAUUCCAGGUAUGAGCCACCACGCCCGGCCUAAAGCUUUUCUAUUAAUAAUUUCCUGCCUCACCCUCCAUCCCCUUCCUCCUCAGACACCUGGAUUUCAUUAGCAUCAUGACCUACGAUUUUCAUGGAGCCUGGCGUGGGACCACAGGCCAUCACAGUCCCCUGUUCCGAGGUCAGGAGGAUGCAAGUCCUGACAGAUUCAGCAACACUAUCUGUGACUUCCUCCGCGGAGCCACAGUCCAUAGAAUCCUCGGCCAGCAGGUCCCCUAUGCCACCAAGGGCAACCAGUGGGUAGGAUACGACGACCAGGAAAGCGUCAAAAGCAAGGUAGGUUUCCCCAAGGCCACACCUCAGGACAAAGAGAAAGAAGGAGGCCCCGCUCCCAGCAGCCAGAUUCCUGUCCCUUGCACUGAGGGCUGGGCUGGGCUCAUAGAACACAUGUGCCCUGUACACACUCUGGGUCAGGGAACCCAGCCCUGCUCCUCUGGGCCUCCCCUGCCAGGUGCAGUACCUGAAGGACAGGCAGCUGGCGGGCGCCAUGGUAUGGGCCCUGGACCUGGAUGACUUCCAGGGCUCCUUCUGCGGCCAGGAUCUGCGCUUCCCUCUCACCAAUGCCAUCAAGGAUGCACUCGCUGCAACGUAGCCCUCUGUUCUGCACACAGCACGGGGGCCAAGGAUGCCCCGUCCCCCUCUGGCUCCGGCUGGCCGGGAGCCUGAUCACCUGCCCUGCUGAGUCCCAGGCUGAGCCUCAGUCUCCCUCCCUUGGAGCCUAUGCAGAGGUCCACAACACACAGAUUUGAGCUCAGCCCUGGUGGGCAAAGAGGUAGGGAUGGGGCUGUGGGGAUAGUGAGGCAUCGCAAUGUAAGACUCGGGAUUAGUACACACUUGUUGAUUAAUGGAAAUGUUUACAGACCCCCAAGCCUGGCAAGGGAAUUUCUUCAACUCCCUGCCCCCCAGCCCUCCUUAUCAAAGGACACCAUUUUGGCAAGCUCUAUCACUAAGUAGCCAAACAUCCUACAAGACACAGUGACCAUACUAAUUAUACCCUCUGCAAAGCCCAGCUUGAAACCUUCACUUAGGAACGUAAUUGUGUCCCCUAUCCUACUUCCCCUUCCUAAUUCCACAGCUGCUCAAUAAAGUACAAGAGCUUAACAGUG